CAGCCGUAAACUAUGCGCGUUAGGUGUGCUGGUGACCACGAGUUACCGAGGUGCCGAAGGGAAACCGUGAAACGUGCCGCCUGGGAAGUACGGUCGCAAGGCUGAAACUUAAAGGAAUUGGCGGGGGAGCACCACAACAGGUGGAGCCUGCGGUUUAAUUGGACUCAACGCCGGGAAGCUCACCGGAUAGGACAGCAGAAUGAUUGCCGGGCUGAAGACCCUGCAUGACUAGCUGAGAGGAGGUGCAUGGCGUAGACGUCU
rnacentral:rRNA from 1 species